AGGGAAGGAAGGACACAGAGAAGGAACAGGUGCCAGAGCCGGAGGGGCAGCUGGAGGAGCCAACACUGGAGGUGGUGGAACAAGCAUCUCCCUACUCCAUGGAUGACAGGGACCCUCGGAAGUUCUUCAUGUCAGGUGAGAGCUGGGGGGUCAGGAUCAGAGGCGUGGGGAGGCCCCAGGAUGCCUUGGCUCAGUGUCCCCAUCCCCAGGCUUCACCGGCUAUGUGCCCCGCGCCCGCUUCCUCUUCGGCUCCAGCUUUCCUGUGCUCACCAACCAGGCACUGCAGGAAUUUGGGCAGAAGCACUCACCAGGCAGUGCCCAGGACCCCAAACAUCUCCCCCCGCUUCCCAGAACAUACCCUCAGAACCUGGGUCUUUUACCUAACUAUGGGGGCUACGUGCCAGGUGAGAAGAGCCCCCGGGGAGGCUUUGGGGACUGGAAGUUUGUAUGGGUAUGGGUGGGUUGGGUGGUUUGUGGGGGUUGAAACUAAUAGAUAUGGGAGGGCUCAGAUCAUGUGGUUCCGCUUUAUUAUUAGGCAGAAAAGGAAACCGAGGUAGCUACCCACAGUGGGGAAUUAGGGCCAGAUUUUAGAGGGCCGUUUGGAGGUCUAGCCAACUGGCU
rnacentral:sRNA from 1 species